CGGCCCAUUUAUCAUCUGCAGCCGAGGAGGCGAAGCUAGCGAGGGAACCGGUGGUCGACGGGAUCCAGCGGAUGCCAGCCGCGCAAGAGGGAUCUAGCUCAAGGGAGCCGAUGAGACGCGUGCGGGGCAACCGGCGGUCCGGGGGAUCCAGCCAAGGCGAGGCGUCUGAGGGGAUCCGGCGCUCGAGCGGCUGCCUCCAGGGUAUGGACAGGUGCAAACUGUUCUUGUGUACACAUCAGUCAGCUAUUCACAUAUAAGAAAUCAUUUCGUUAAAAGGUGCACGCAUCCCAAGCGAACACGGAGUGAAAAACUGGGAGGAGAAUAUAGACGCAUCUUAGCCAGUUGGCUCGUGUUUGGGGAUCAGUGCAAGUUUAAUCGGAAUGAUUUUCAAUGUCUCAAUACAGCAGCCGUGAGCACCAGUUCAGUACACGUUGGAAGAAGGUUUGGAGAGACCGACCCCAUGUGUCAACUACAGUAUGUUCGACGAAAUGUGGAGCGUGGUUUUAAAUGGAGAUUCUUGGUAUCACGUGUCAGGACGUAAGUCACUAGGAAAGGAAAAGGGUGACGAGUUAACAGCUUCCUGUGCAACGGAAGCGUGAAAUGAUGUCGUGAAAUCUCACGAUUAGCCUGUUGCGAUUCAAGAUUAGAGAAGUGACAGUAUGUAUCUUUCUAAUGAAUGAAUAAAAAGGAAUUCCGCUCA